rnacentral:rRNA from 1 species
UACGUAGGGUGCAAGCGUUAAUCGGAAUUACUGGGCGUAAAGCGUGCGCAGGCGGCUUUGCAAGACAGAUGUGAAAUCCCCGGGCUUAACCUGGGAACUGCAUUUGUGACUGCAUGGCUGGAGUGCGGCAGAGGGGGAUGGAAUUCCGCGUGUAGCAGUGAAAUGCGUAGAUAUGCGGAGGAACACCGGUGGCGAAGGCGGCAUCCUGGACCAACACUGACGCUGAGGUGCGAAAGCCAGGGGAGCAAACGGG